rnacentral:lncRNA from 1 species
AUAACCUAAAAGAGUGCUGCUAAUUUACCAACACUUAUUUAAGCAUUUAAGAACCGUCGAAACUCUAUCUCGUUGGCUGCGGUGGCGGAGGAGGACGACAGGAAAGGCUCUUCGUCUAGAAUUUCAGUAGAUUGAGUAAAGAGAGAAGAAAAGAUGGUAAUUGAUUUUUUUUUUUUCUUUUCUAUUUGUAAUCGGGCCAAAUAGACUGGGUGUGGUGGGUUGAGUAGAGUAAUCUUUUAUUUUUGGUUGGAUUGGGUUUUAUAUUUAGGCAUUAGUAGAUGUUUUUUUAAGUUUUAGCAUAAAUGGGACACUUACUCAAAAGUGUCCCAAACAUGUGUUCCUAUAACCUAAUUCUAUCGUAGUGUUAUAUGCAUGAUGGUGAGAUUACCUCCAAUGUAAAAAAAAGUAUAUUUUUUGUUUAAAAAGUAAUUAGGGAGGUAAGCUUAUUUUUUGCGUAAAGUUACUCUAUCCAACUGCUGCAGUUGAAACUACAGUCAAUUUGGGCGUAGUUCCAACUACUAUAGUUGGACCUUCUUCCAAUAGUUGAAGUUAAAUAUAUGAAACCAAACACGGAAUUUGCAUUUACAUAUAGUUAUAAUUACAGUGUAGUUAUAACUACAUGUAACCAAACGAUCCCUUAGUGUAAUAACUGACUGCAAGCACAA